CGCAGGGCACCGACCUGGCCAGGUUCGCGCUGAAGACUGGGCACAGGGAGCCCGAAUCAGAGGACCUUGGCUGCCGGCUGCAGGAUCAGACCCACAGGCAGCCGACACUGCUUCCUGCCGUCUCUCUGCUGCGUCUCCUGACACACACCUGUGUCACCUGCCAGCCAGUUGUUGACCUGCAGUGCAGAUGUGACCAGUCCAGAAUGUCCCCAGUCAACCUGCUCGGGUCUCAGCCCUUUCUCUUCUGUAAGUGUUGGCCUUGCCGAGUUAAAUCAGUCCCCUGAUUGAUCUCCGGUAUAAAUAGUGUGCCGUUGAUGAGCUGGACGUCUUUGAGCUAAUUAGCAGUGCAUCCCUGGAGGUCCCUGCGAUGCCACGCCCCAGGACACCACGCUGGACCAACGGAAACAGGUGGUCUGCAGGGAACCUCCUCGGCUGCAGCCACCCUCCCGAGUCUGUUAUGUGACAUGAUAAAAUGCCCACAACAUGAGAUGAAGGAGGUGAAGGACACAGGCUCUGUGAUGUAGCUUUAGGCUACUACUGACCUUCUGACGAUAUACAUCAGAGGAAGAUCACCUGCUUUCACACCAUGGUUGCCUACAGGAAACACCAGAGCGUUAGCUCUCUCCCUGGGAGAAGGAGGCCCUCUGCAAGCCAGGAAGAGAACUCCCAUCAGAAACUGGCCCCCCCACCCCCUGGCACCCUGGUCUUGGACCCCCAGCCUCCAGAGCCGUGAGAAAAUGCAUUUCUGUUGUCUAAACCAUCCAGUGUGUGGUGUUUUCUUAUGGCAGCCCUGGCGCACUAAGACACCCUCUCCAAGAUCACAUUCGCAGGUUCUCAGUGAGCGUUCUUGGGGGACUGCCUUUCGACCAGCCACAGACCCCUACACUGACGACCACAAGGGAUGGGGAGGGAAAGUGACAAAGGC